UAAAGCUACAGGCAUUGAAAUUACAUGCUGAAGUUAGGCUAAGACUGUGUGUAGGAGUUAUCAUGAUGUUCUAAUAAUCCCUCAGUGUAAAAACACAUCUUGGGGAACUGCUGACUGAAAAAUAGAGGGAAUAUGCACAAAGCCAGCUGUAUCGUUACUGCCUUCGAUGUGAGAACUAAAAAUCUCAGAUAGAGCAAUGUCAUGCAUCGACUCAGAGGACAAAGACAAUAAUGUGACUCAAAGACGGCAAUGAGAAAAACAGCCAAGAACAAGACAAAGUGUCCCGUGCAGAGUUCUGUAGUGCCACAGCUGAGCUGCUACUGGUCUUCAAGCUGCAUCACAUCAAGAUGGCUUGAGUACUUCAAGUUGCUACAAGUUGCUGGUGUCUUGUCUAAAUAAACCACUUACAAUAAAUUAUUCAAACAAUUCAAAAUCUCAGAACACAUCAGUUUAAUAAUACACACUAACUCCACCAGUUUCCAACUGUCUGUCACUCCUUACUAUGCACUUUAGAAAUAUUUUUAAUUCACAUGUUUAAUUGUAGUAACAACAUAGAGGCAAACAAAUGUUUUACAAAUGUUUGAAAUCAUAGAACAAUAACAACUAAAUUGACACGUGUGAUUUACUUUUUUUCUGUGGCACUCUUGUUUGAAACACGCAAAGUAAGACAAGGAAUUAAUUUGCUGCUAGCAAUUUCUCCAGUUUUCUCAUUCUGCCUAGGUUUCCCUAUGGCUGGAUGGCAGUAGAAUAAACUAGAUUUAGGAGGAACUACCACAGUUUUGUGCUAUGUGGUUUCGUGCUGGGUUUCCUAUGUGAAGUUGCCAUUUAACCAAAUAAAUCAAAUACAGUGCUAUAAAUCCAAAUGCAUUUUAAAUACUCAGCCUGAUUUGCACAUUAUUGGAGAAAAACAUUGUCUUUUUUUUCUUCUGACUGAAAUUAAUUUAAAAGAGGAAGAAAAAUCUGCAGAAAAUGAGAGAUCUAGCUGGGUUCUAUAUAGAGUACCUCCUCCCACACCCCAUACCCCAAUUUCUGCCACAGGUUAUCACCAGACAUUUAAAGAAAGCAAAUGCAGAAAAUAGAAAUAUUUGUAUUAACAUCUAGAGCAUAAUGAAGUAGAGAUAGAAAUGAAAUUCUGUGGAUGGUGGUUCCUUAAAUGGAACACAAAGCUCAUCUUACAUUACUUAACUUUUUGCUUUAUGGCUCAUAAGCUUGACACAGCCUUAGGUCAGGAUAAAAAUAUGAAAGACUACAUCUUCUGUUGGGUGUCUGCUUCCACUUGAGAAGGCCUCCUUGCCAGGAACAAAUGCUGAUAAUCUGAUCCACUUUGAGAUCCACUCAAGACUCUGCUUGCCAGAUUUACUCUGAAUUUUAACAUUAUGGCUGACCAGUUUAUACUACUAAAAUGGUGAUUUAGUUUUGAGUUAUAGUUUCAGAUUGUGUUUUUCUCUCUCUUUUUAAAAAAAAUUUGGUUUUUUUUUCUGCUACAAAAUCGUUGUACUUUCUACCAAACAAGGUUUUGAAUUAAAAUAAUUUCUACAUUCCUGAAAAAAACAAGGCUUUUUCAUUAAAUUACUCUCAGUGAUGCAAUGUUUGACUUACUCCAUUUGGGAUUUGGUUGAUACUGAGUGAAACUUGCUGAUCUACUACAAAACUUUUUGUGAAAACCCAACAAGUACUCUGGAUCUACAAUGUUUCUGUUCUCUUAUAAUGAGAUUAUAAAAGUAUUUAUCUCACAGGAGCUUCAUCAAACUCAGCGCUCCAAAGAAUGGGGUUAAUGUAAAUUACAGUAGAGAGAAGAUAGACAACUACUUGCACAAAAAAUAGAGGAGAAAAAAGCUGUUUCUGGGGUAGUGCCAAAGGGCCUCAGUAAAUUUAUUCAGAAGUAGGCUGAACCUAAUUUCCUUGUUUGUUUUUAAAAUCUCACUAAGGAUUUAUGUAGCUUGCAGUGCUUGUUGUCAGUAGUUUCAAGUGGCCAUGUCCACCCAAAUUACAAGAAGAUUUCAGUCAUGGACAUAUAUUUUUUUUAAAUUCUUAUUUUCACAGUCUAAAACAUAGUCUGUACCUCCAUACAUAUAUUAUUGUAAAGGGACAGAAAAGUUCAUAUGUACUUCAGGAUUUUGUAAAAGCAAACUUUUGAAAAACUUGAAAUAAUUAUAAAAUCUUUCCCAGACUUGUGUUUGCUUUUCAAAUGCCAGUGAGGGUCUGUAUACAUUAUAGAAAUAUAUUUAUAUAAAGCAAAACAGGGACAAAAACCCCUUAAUCCAAAUGUGUUGAAAAUGACACAUUUUUCUAUGGCAAGUUUGUUCAGCUGCUGUCAAUAAGGUCAUUAUUUAACUGUUUUCUAGAUGGAGACAGUUUAUCUAUAAAAAUGUUUUAUUUUGUUUUUUAAAGGAUAUAGUUCAGCUUUGGCUUGGCUUUUUCAGUGGAGUACAGCAAAUCCUUUUUUUUACAAACAAAAUGUUCUAAUUUACUGCCCUCGAUAAGAUCCCCAGGCUUGCUUAAAUUGUUCAAAGUGUUAGAGGUGCAACCUAUGCCAAAAACUAUACUAGAAUAAAUAUUGCAUAUAUUUUCAAUUUGUGGGUGAAUGUAAUGCAAAACAAUUCUGGUUGUUAGGCACAUUGCAGGCAGACUCUGCAGGCUUCCCACACACAUUGCCACCAGAGCACUUCAGUCCUGACAGUUAACACCAUAUGAUGUUCCACUCUUGAAUUACCUUACGAGCAGCGACUGCCAACUCUGCCUGCGAAUUUUGGAAUAUUCAAACCCUGUAGGCCUGAUGACUGGUUGGAUUCUUUGGUUUGUUUUCCUUAGCACCCUGCUCUUUACACACUAUGAAUGUCUGCUUGCUGUGAAGGAUUUCUUUUGCAUACUUUGCCUCCUGGAAAGUCAAUUUUGCUCAACUUACUGUCAUUUAAAAUCAUUAAAAUCCUCCUUUCUAUGUGAAGGUACUGGAUUUUUUUCUCCACCUUCUAUUAAUAUAAUAAACUUGUGUUUACUGAGACUAUGAAUAUAUAAUUUGGUCUUCAGUCUCUUCCUAAAAUUUCUUAGCGCUUAAAAAACUCAUUAACCCUCUGUAUAAGUUGACUCAAUUAACUAUAUUAAAAGAUACACUCAGUACAUUGAAAUGAGAAUGGCCAAAAAAGUGUCCCCCCCCCAAAAAAAAAAUAGUAUUCUUCCUCCAGCAGUACUGGAAAGAAAAAGCAGCAGGUUGUGAGGAAGGAAAGAAUAGUAUGCCUG